GAUGAACGCUGGCGGCGUGCCUAAUACAUGCAAGUCGAGCGAACGGACGAGAAGCUUGCUUCUCUGAUGUUAGCGGCGGACGGGUGAGUAACACGUGGAUAACCUACCUAUAAGACUGGGAUAACUUCGGGAAACCGAGCUAAUACCGGAUAAUAUUUUGAACCGCAUGGUUCCAAAGUGAAAGACGGUCUUGCUGUCACUUAUAGAUGGAUCCGCGCUGCAUUAGCUAGUUGGUAAGGUAACGGCUUACCAAGGCAACGAUGCAUAGCCGACCUGAGAGGGUGAUCGGCCACACUGGAACUGAGACACGGUCCAGACUCCUACGGGAGGAAGCAGUAGGGAAUCUUCCGCAAUGGGCGAGAGCCUGACGGAGCAACGCCGCGUGAGUGAUGAAGGUCUUCGGAUCGUAAAACUCUGUUAGUAGGGAAGAACAUAUGUGUAAGUAACUGUGCACAUCUUGACGGUACCUAAUCAGAAAGCCACGGCUAACUACGUG
rnacentral:rRNA from 1 species